rnacentral:rRNA from 1 species
UACGUAGGGCGCAAGCGUUGUCCGGGAUUAUUGGGCGUAAAGAGCUCGUAGGUGGCUUGUCACGUCGGGUGUGAAAGCUUGGGGCUUAACUCCAGGUCUGCAUUCGAUACGGGCUGGCUAGAGGUAGGUAGGGGAGAACGGAAUUCCUGGUGUAGCGGUGAAAUGCGCAGAUAUCAGGAGGAACACCGGUGGCGAAGGCGGUUCUCUGGGCCUUACCUGACGCUGAGGAGCGAAAGCGUGGGGAGCGAACAGG